rnacentral:tRNA from 1 species
ACAAUGAAGGGCUAAUCCUUCCUCUCCUAACUC